UACGAGGGGGGCAAGCGUUGUUCGGAAUUAUUGGGCGUAAAGGGCGCGUAGGCGGUUUAACAAGUCUGAUGUGAAAUCUAUGGGCUCAACCCAUAGCCUGCAUUAGAAACUGUCGGGCUUGAGUAUGGGAGAGGUGAGUGGAAUUUCCGGUGUAGCGGUGAAAUGCGUAGAUAUCGGAAGGAACACCUGUGGCGAAAGCGGCUCACUGGACCAUAACUGACGCUGAGGCGCGAAAGCUAGGGGAGCAAACAGG
rnacentral:rRNA from 1 species